rnacentral:rRNA from 1 species
GGGGGGGGGGGGGGGGGGGGCGGGGGGGGGGGGGGGGGGGGGGCGGAGGAGGAGCGGGCUCCUCGGACGGUAGCGGCGGACGGGUGAGUAACACGUGGAUAACCUACCUAUAAGCCUGGGAUAACUUCGGGAGACCGGAGCUAAUACCGGAUAAUCUAUUGAACCGCAUGGUUCAAUAGUGAAAGACGGUUUUGCUGUCACUUAUAGAUGGAUCCGCGCCGCAUUAGCUAGUUGGUAAGGUAACGGCUUACCAAGGCAACGAUGCGUAGCCGACCUGAGAGGGUGAUCGGCCACACUGGAACUGAGACACGGUCCAGACGCCUACGGGAGGCAGCAGUAGGGAAUCUUCCGCAAUGGGCGAAAGCUUGACGGAGCAACGCCGCGUGAGUGAUGAAGGUAUUCGGAUCGUAAAACUCUGUUAUUAGGGAAGAACAAAUGUGUAAGUAACUAUGCACGUCUUGACGGUACCUAAUCAGAAAGCCACGGCUAACUACGUG